CUGUUCUGUUGUGAAAUUAUAAAUAACAUUUAAAUUAAUGAGCGGUGGGGGAAACAUGAAACCGCAGUCCGUCUUCUCUGUGGUUCGACUGGCAAAAACAAAUUUCAUGAGGAAAUUGCGUGAUGAAAAAAAUAAUCCAAUGAGCAGGUGUUUUAUUUUUAGUCAGAGGAACCAGUGAGUACACAUUAGAUCUGUGUGUACCCGGCACUGGAAUGAUGCUGAUCAUGUGACACAGCUGAACUCUGUGGGCCCUCACAGGCUGCCAGCAAAGGCACGGCACUUAAGGAAUGAGGAUCCGGCCGGUGCAGAUAUGAGUGUUUCUGUGUGAUGACUUCGCCUGGAGGUGAGAUUAAGGCUGUUCAUCCUCAGCUCCACUCUGGAACCUUCUCUCUUCUCUACUUCUUUCGUUAUUUUCUUUUUUCCUGGGGCAAAGAACAGUCAGAAAAAUGUCAGGCCUAUUGUCUGCACAGAUGAAACACAGCCGCCUCGUUCGGACACAUUCUUAUGUUUUAUUUUUUUAUUUUUUACCGGCAAACUAGGAAGCUUUCUUCAAUCUUAACACCUAAAAUACGAAAGCAUGCACAUAUGCGACAUAGAUAUUCCUCAAUCUCACAAAAUAAUUUAAGAAAAUCCUGGGAUGUUGUUUCUGAUCCAUUCCUAGUUGGAUAAUUGUGUCAAAGCACGCCUCGGCUUCAGAGCCAUCAGGCUGUGCCGCUUAAAUUGGACAUGUGGGUCUUUAUUCGGGUCUAUUAUGUGCUGAGUUGAGCCUGUGAUAAUAAAUGCUUGCAUCCACUUCUCGGGGUGUGCGGGGGUCAUGGACUGUCAUCCUGUAUCUGGGCCUCGGCUCAGCUCCAGCAGCACAGGGUUACUUGUAGAACAAGACGUGCCACAGUGGGGAAGAUCACAGUGGCGGCAGUUGCCUGGGAGUGUGUGUUUUUUCUGGUGUGUACACAAAGAACACUGUCACUCUGCAUUAGAGAUGGACAAACUCGAUCGGUUUGCGUGCUUGUGUG
ensembl:lncRNA